GGUCACACCCGGUCUCAUUCCGAACCCGGUCGUUAAGUCUCCUUGCGCUGAUGGUACUGCCCUGUGGUGGGGUGGGAGAGUAGGU
rnacentral:rRNA from 1 species